UAUAAUUCUAAUGCAACAACGUUUGUAAUGUUCAUUUUGAUUGGAUAACGUCACUUUUUUUACAUGGCAUCAAUUGACUAUGGGGCGUACGCGCUAGCGGAGACGGCAUAUGACAGACUUUAAUUACAUGUUUUAACGUUGUUUUCUGUCAGUUUCAUUAGAAUGGAGAUAACAAUAUUGUAUUUUUAGCUCCGACGGCAUCAAUUGGGGAUUUGAUGGUCGCAAAUACCCGUUUACUGUCUCCGCUAACGCAUCGCCAGUAAACUUAAUUUGCGACCAUCAAAUCCCC
rnacentral:lncRNA from 1 species